GCCAGUGAGCUCACUGGUUAGAGCGUUGGCCCUCACACCGAAGGGUCGUGGGUUCGAAUCCCACUCAAGGGCA
rnacentral:tRNA from 1 species